AAGAGGUCGUUGAUACAGAUGUUCUUCUUCCACUGAGACCGUUUGUUUGGGAUAUCCUUGGAUGCCUCACAGCAAAUUGUAUGGAAGAUUUCUUCCCAAAGAUGCAUGGAAAUGAGACCGUGUUUAAUGUUCUCGUUGUUUGUGCAUGCUUGGCCUUCGUGGACUCGAUCCUCACCUCUCGCCAAAUUUCCCAAGGGAAUGCUUGUCAUUCAUCAGAGAGUGAACCAGCAUCUAGAGCAGUCCUUAUGAUGAUUUAUUCUCCCAGCAAGUACAUUUCUUCCAAAACAAGAUUCAUACUAUCUGAAGUUCUGGCACUGAAGGGAA
rnacentral:misc_RNA from 1 species